AUUGAACGCUGGCGGCAGGCCUAACACAUGCAAGUCGAACGAGUGGCGGACGUGCGAGUAAUGUCUGGGAAACUGCCCGAUGGAGGGGGAUAACUACUGGAAACGGUAGCCAAUACCGCAUACCAUCAGAUGUGCCCAGAUGGGAUUGGCUUGUUGGGUGGGUAACGGCUCACCAAGGCGACGAUCCCUAGCUGGUCUGAGAGGAUGACCGGCCACAAUGGAACGAGGAGACGGAGCAGACUCGUACUGGAGGAAGCAGUAGGGAAUGGUGCACAAGGGGCGAAAUCUUGAUGGAGCCAGGCCGCGAGUAUGAAGAAGGCCUUCGGAGUGUAAACUACGUGAGGGUGGGAGGCGUUAAGCGAAGAGGAAGCACCGGUUAACUCCGUGCCAGCAGCCGCGGUAAUAC
rnacentral:rRNA from 1 species